rnacentral:rRNA from 1 species
CCGGCGACCGGCGCACGGGUGAGUAACGCGUAUGCAACUUACCUAUCAGAGGGGGAUAACCCGGCGAAAGUCGGACUAAUACCGCAUGAAGCAGGGGCCCCGCAUGGGGAUAUUUGCUAAAAAUUCAUCGCUGAUAGAUAGGCAUGCGUUCCAUUAGGCAGUUGGCGGGGUAACGGCCCACCAAACCGACGAUGGAUAGGGGUUCUGAGAGGAAGGUCCCCCACAUUGGUACUGAGACACGGACCAA